UGUUCUUAGUCUCCCAGUACUGGAUUCUAUUUGAUAUGAUUUUCUUACUUCUCAAUCAACAUAAAUAAAGUUACUUCAUUCACCAAGCCUGAUACAAACUUAACAUUCAGAAUACCACUAGCAACACACCACAAAAUAAAAUAAAAACAUAAAUAAAUAAGUACUACCAAAGAUUUAUUCUUUGAUUUAUUCUUGCAAGAACUCAACCCACAAAUCCACCACAACCAACAACUUAGGCCGUGGGCUUGGCAAAGAUCUUCUUAGCAAAUUCAGCUAGAGUUGCAGUCUCGGGCAUGACAGGUUUCACAGCAGGAUCGUUACAGAACCUCAGUUUUCGUUAUUUUCUAAGCAUACCUGAGACCAGAACGUUAAGAUUAGACAACGAAACUGCUAAUGUAACUACGAGUAAGCAAGUCAUCAAAGUUUUUGUAGAACCCAUACUGAUUUUUUUGAAUGCAACCAAGCCAAGAAGCACCCGAAUGCAAUGUCGAGGUAACCGAUGUGUUCACCGUUAAAGAAUGGUUUUCCUUUGCUGCAAUCGAUGAAGGCCUUCUCGAGAAGCGCGUUCCCUUCUUCCACUUGAGCUAACACCGCUUUCUUCUCUUCUUCUCCCUCAGCUUUUAGGAUACUUUUUAGAGAGGGAAACCACUUCAUUCAUGUUCAAUGUCAUCACAUAGAAAACAUACGAUUAUCUCAUGACAUGAAACUAUUAAUAAAACUUGUGGAUCAGGUAAAAGGGGGGGAACCUUUUCGUCAAUGUAGGCCGCCCAGAACCGAGCGAUGGCUCGAUCAUAAGGAGUGGAAGGUAGCAUGGACGGUCCAGAUGCGCUCCAAGUCUCAUCAACAUACUCAACGAUGAUGUUAGACUCACAAACCGGUUUGUCAGCAUGAAGGAGAACCGGAAUCUUCUUGUGAACCGGGUUUGAUUUAAGAAGCAACUCGCUCUUUGCUCCAAACGUCUCCUGGAGGAACUCGUAGGGAACAGACUUGAGGUUCAGAGCGAUCCUCGGCCUCAUCACAAAAGGACUCGCCCAUGCGCCGAUCACCUUCACUUCAUCGGUAGCCAUUUUCUCUUCAAGAUCAAGAACAGAGAGAAGGACUUGGUUAAACACGUUGAAGCUUUAGUGGUAAAUCGUAGGGCAUUAUAUGGAAGGGAAGAGGGGGUAGGUAAGGUCGUAACGUAAGGCUUUCGGAAUUUCAUGGAGGUGAAGAAGCACCAGUAAAGUUUGACAUGUGUCUUAUACGGUUGGGAAAACGUUUAAAUGUUGGUCCAUCACUUUAUUAGGGGCGAGCGUUACAUAUUCACAUUGUUAGGAUGCGUGGUGUGAACUGAAACCAUUAACACACCGACAACUGUGUUCAUCUUCACGUGUUCACAUUUGUAUUUCAUGCAUAGAUAGCUUUCUCUCAAUGGGACCAUUUAAGAUCUUUGUACUUAUAUAAUUAAGUUAAUAUAUGUCUUGUUUUGACGAGUUACGAUAUUGAUAUAUAUUGUGAAACAAGUGAAACUAUAUUUAAAGGAUAGUUACGUUACAUACAAUUAAUUAUACAAAUCUACCAUUCGAGUAAAUUCACUUAUCCAAACACACAUGUCAUAUUCUCAUUUAGUAUUGAUAAAUAAUAAUAAUCAUUUUUAGUUGCUCUGUAUAUACGUACAUUUAAUAUUUGUGUUGGCUAGUCAUGUUUUCUGUAUUUGUACUGAGUGCAUUUUUUAAAUAAUUUAGAGCAUUUCCAAAAAUGAACUUCAAAAUUUUAAAUUUGGAGUUUUGAAUAGUGAUUCAUAUUUUUAUUUAUAUUUUGGUCUUUAUAAUUAAUUGUACAUCAUAUUUAUGAUUUUUAAGUAUUUUUUCAUUUAUAUUUUUAAUCUUUAAAACUUUUGUAUAUCAUAAAUAUUUCAAAUUUAUUUUAAUAAAUUCAAAAUUUUACACAUAAAAUUAAAUAAAAAUUUUAAAAUAAGGUUUGUAAUAUUCUUAGGAGAAAGCAACACAAGUUAAUAUACUUAUGUUUCUCUUGCACCAUCAACACAGAAUCAACGAACCCCAAGUUCUACUUAAUUAGGAUCUUUUGUGUCUUUGACAUCCAUUAUUAUUAAAAAAAUGUUAAAAAAAUACAUCAUUCGUAGAGAAACAAAAUGUUAAAUAAAUUAUUUAGAAAAUCUUAUAUGAUAACUUCUUUUCAUAUUUAUUUUCUUCUUUAUAUUAUUUUGAUUAUAAAAUAUUCAUAUUAGAUGUUCUUUUUUUUUUUUUUGGAACACAAACUUUCAUUCAAACUUAAACUCCAAAAUGAGAGUUCAUUACAGCAACUGCAGAGAGCAGAGCAUUCUUUGCUACUGAAUCAGAGAUAUUGUUUUUGUCCCUAGGGAUCCAACUGAAGUAAACAGCAUCAAGAAGGGAACUUAGAACUAAGAUAUCAGCAACUAAACCAUAAAUCUCUGGUGGGGGGGUGUCCUCCAUUGACUGCUUGGAUUAAUUGUCUAGAGUCCGAUUCAAAGUGAAGUCUUCGGCGGUUCAGAGAAAAACUCAUAGUGAUAGCUUCCCGUAGAGCCAGUGCUUCUUAGUUUUCACUUUUCAGUGCUGGAUUUUAUGAGACAUCAUUUUCUUACUUCUCAAUCAACAUAAAAAAAAUUACUUCAUUCACCAAGACUGAUACUACAAACUUAACAUUCAAAAUACACUUACCAACAUACCAAAAGUAAAAUUAAAACAUAAAUAAAUAAGUACCAUCACUCUCAUUUUAUUUUUUCAAGAACUCAACCCACAGUUCCACGAGGACCACAGCCAUCAGCUUAGGCCGGCGGCUUGGCAAAGAUCUUCUUAGCGAACUCAGCUAGAGUUGCAGUCUCGGGCAUGACAGGUUUCACAGCAGGAUCAUUACAGAACCUGUCAGCCCAUUUGGACAGAGAAGGAGUCUUGACCUCAUCGAUAAGUUUAUGACCACCUGCCAACUCGGUGACUCUCAACCAAGCCAAGAAGCACCCGAAUGCAAUGUCGAGGUAACCGAUGUGUUCACCGUUGAAGAACGCUUUUCCUUUGCUGCAAUCGUUGAAGGCCUUCUCGAGAAGCGCGUUCCCUUCUUCCACUUGAGCUAACACCGCUUUCUUCUCUUCUUCUCCCUCAGCUUUUAGGAUACUUUUUAGAGAGGGAAACCACUUCAUUCGUGUUCAAUGUCAUCACAUAGAAAACAUACGCUUAUCUCAUGACAUGAAACUAUAAAUAAAACUUGUGGAUCAGGUAAAAGAGGGGGAACCUUUUCGUCAAUGUAGGCCGCCCAGAACCGAGCGAUGGCUCGAUCAUAAGGAGUGGAAGGUAGCAUGGACGGUCCAGAUGCGCUCCAAGUCUCAUCAACAUACUCAACGAUGAUGUUAGACUCACAAACCGGUUUGUCAGCAUGAAUCAGAACGGGAAUCUUCUUGUGAACCGGGUUUGAUUUAAGAAGCAACUCGCUCUUUGCUCCAAACGUCUCCUGGAGGAACUCAUAGGGAACAGACUUGAGGUUCAGAGCAAUCCUCGGCCUCAUCACAAAAGGACUCGCCCAUGCGCCGAUCACCUUCACUUCGUCGCUAGCCAUUUUCUCUUCAAGAUCAAGAACGGAGGAGGACUUGGUUUAAUGCGUUGAAGCUUUAGUGGUAGAUCGUAGGGCAUUAUAUGGAAGCGAAGAGGGGGUAGGUAAGGUCGUAACGUAAGGCUUUCGAAAUUUCAUGGAGGUGAAGAAGCACCAGUUAAAGUUUGACACGUUUCUUAAACGGUUGGGAAAACGUUGAAGUGUUGGUCCAUCACUUUAUUAGGGGCGAGCGUUACAUAUUCACAUUGUUCGGAUGCGUGGUGUGAACUUAAACACACCGACUAUUGUUUCACAUUCGCGUGUUCACAUUUGUACUUCAUGCAUAGAUAGCUUUCUCUCAAUGGGACCAUUUAAGAGCUUUGUACAAUUGUACUUAUAUAAUAAUUAAGUUAACUAGGAUAAUACCUGCGCUCUGCGCAGUGUGAAUUUAUUUUUAUAUAUUAUCGAUAGUUUCUUUUAUAUAUUUGAUCAUUUUAUUUAUAUAUAUAAAAUAUUUUUUGUUGUUAUUAUAUAAUUUUUUUCCGGUGGAUCAGAUCAAUUUUUAUUAAAAAUAAUGGAACAAAACUAUAAUUAAUACAUCAUGGGUUGAUCGGAUUGGACAUUAAACAAAUUAUGACAUAAAAACCUUAUUUUUUCCAUCGAACACAUUCUUGAAAAAAGUGAACAGUAUUGUUUUUACAGUUGAAUUAUUUUGACUUUUAUCUUCCAUAUGGUUUUGAAAGCUUUCAAAUCAACCAUCGAAUUGAUACAUGUCAUUUUAAUGUUUUAGUCGUAUACUUAAGGAAAACUUACAUUUUUGUAAUUUAAAGUCGUUUUAAAAAAUUCAAAAUAUAACAUAUAAGAAAAAAUCUAACAUAUAAGAAAAAUAUAACAUAUAAGUUGUCCUCAUUUUUGUAUUUUAAAGUCGUUUUAAAAAAAUAUAUAACAUAUAAGGUUUCCUCGUUUUUGUAAUUUAAAGUCAUUUUAAAAAAUUCAAAAUAUAACAUAUAAGAAAAAAUCUAAUUUUUUAUUAUAUGGUUAAUGUGAUUGUUUACUUUUUUUAAUAAUAAAAAAUUAAACAAAAUGAAGAAGGAUGCAAAAGUUGUUAUCAAAUCUUUAUUAUUCAUAAUCAUUAAUUGUCAUAUAUAUGUUGCAAAAGUUGUUAUCAAAUCUUUAUUAUUCAUAAUCAUUAAUUAUCAUAUAUAUAUGUAAAUCAUAUUAGGUAAUUCUGUAACUUUUAUUUAAGGAAAGAAUACACACUUCUUAUAUUUUAGGUUAAUAUAAUGUUCUCUAGUGGACAUUAAACAAAUUAUGACAUAAAAACCUUAUUUUUUUCCUCGAACACAUUCUUGAAAAAGUGAACAGUAUUGUUUUCACAGUUAAAUUAUUUUGACUUUUAUCUUACAUAUGGUUUUGAAAGCUUUCAAAUCAACCAUCGAACUUAUACAUGUCAUUUUAAUGUUUUUAGUCGUAUACUUAAGGAAAACUUACAUUUUUGAAAUUUAAAGUCGUUUUAAAAAAUUCAAAAUAUAACAUAUAAGAAAAAAUCUAACAUAUAAGAAAAAUGUAACAUAUAAGGUGUCCUCAUUUUUUAUUUUAAAGUCUUUUUUAAAAAAAUAUAACAUAUAAGGUUUCCUCAUUUUUGUAAUUUAAAGUCAUUUUAAAAAAUUCAAAACAUAACAUAUAAGAAAAAAUCUAUUUUUUAUUAUAUGGUUCAUGUGAUUGUUUAUUUUUUAAUAAUAUAAAUUAAACAAAAAUGAAGAAGAAUGCAAAAAUUGUUAUCAAAUCUUUAUUAUUCAUAAUCAUUAAUUAUCAUAUAUAUAUGUAAAUCAUAUUAGGUAAUUCUGUAACUUUUAUUUAAGGAAAGAAUACACACUUCUUAUAUUUUAGGUUAAUAUAAUGUUCUCUAGUGGACAUUAAACAAAUUAUGACAUACAAACCUUAUUUUUUCCAUCGAACACAUUCUUGAAAAAAGUGAACAGUAUUGUUUCCACAGUUAAAUUAUUUUGACUUUUAUCUUCCAUAUGGUUUUGAAAGCUUUCAAAUCAACCAUCGAAUUGAUACAUGUCAUUUUAAUGUUUUUAGUCGUAUACUUAAGGAAAACUUACAUUUUUGUAAUUUAAAGUCAUUUUUAAAAAAUUCAAAAUAUAACAUAUAAGAAAAUUCUAACAUAUAAGAAAAAUAUAACAUAUAAGAUGUCUUCAUUUUUGUAUUUUAAAGUCAUUUUAAAAAGAAAUAUAUAACAUAUAAGGUUUCCACUUUUUUUGUAUUUUAAAGUCAUUUUAAAAAAUUCAAAAUAUAACAUAUAAGAAAAAAUCUAAUUUUUUUAUUAUAUGGUUAAUGUGAUUGUUUAUUUUUUUUAAUAAUAUAAAUUUAAACAAAAAUGAAGAAGGAUGCAAAAAUUGUUAUCAAAUCUUUAUUAUUCAUAAUCAUUAAUUGCCAUAUAUAUGUAAAUCAUAUUAGGUAAUUCCGUAACUUUUAUUUAAGGAAAGAAUACACACUUCCUAUAUUUUAGGUUAAUAUAAUGUUCUCUAGUGUUAUAUAAUUAUGGAAUAAUGUGACACCAUUAGAUUAAACUAUACUUUAUAUUAGAUGCUUUAGAAUUCUUUGAAAUGAAAUUUAGAAGGCAUUUAGAGUGCCACCUAGGAUUUGGGGUUUUUUUUAAUUAAUACAAAAUUAAGGUUCUAAUUUUUCAAAUACUUCUCAAUUAAUAUAUAGGGGAUAUAUGUCUUGGUUUUAACGAUUUACGAUAUUGUAAAACAAGUGAAACUAUAUUUAAAGAAUAGUUACAUGCAAUUACACAAAACUACCAUUCUAGUGAAUUCAAUUAUCCAAACACACGUGUCACAUUCUCAUUCAGUAUUGAUAAAUAAUAAUAAUCAUUUUUAGUUUGCUCUAUAUAUAUACGUACAUUUAAUAUUUGUGUUGGCUAGUCAUGUUUUCUAUAUUUGUAUUGAAUGCAUUUUCUAAUAACUUUUUUUGAUAAAGAACUUAGACCAUCAUUAUCCACGGUUUCUUAGAGCAGGGUUCUUAGAAAAAUAUUUUCUUAGAGCAGGGUUCUUAGGAAAAUAUAAGAACAGUUUCUUAAUUCACUUAUCCAAACACACGUGUCACAUUCCAUUCAGUAUUGAUAAAUAAUAAUAAUCAUUUUUAGUUUGCUAUAUACAUAUAUACACGUACAUUUAAUAUUUGUGUUGGCUAGUCAUGUUUUCUAUAUUUGCACUGAAUGCAUUUUCUAAUAACUUUUUUUUGAUAAAGAACUUAGAUCAUCAUUAUCCACGGUUUCUUAGGGCAGAAUUCUUAGGAAAAUAUAAAAAAUUGUUUCUUAAUUUUCAACUAAAAAGUUAAGAAACAAUUUCUUAAUUUUUUAGUUGAAAAUUAAGAAACAGUUUCUUAUAUUUCCCUGAGAACUCCGCCCUAAGAAACCGUGGAUAAUGAUGCUCUUAUAAGAUAUAGGUAAGUCAGAGCAUGUUUAUUGCAUAUCUCUUAGAUUGGAGUUCUUAACGUAAUAUAAGAUACGGUCUCUUAGCUUUUAACUAAAAAAACUAAGAAACGUCUCUUAAAUAAAAGAUAUAAGAGACGUCUCUUAACUUUUAUAUCAUAUGUUAUAUUACGUUAAAAACCUCAACCUAAGAGACCUACAAUAAACAUGCUCUUAGGGCAUCAUUAUUGGAGGGAUUUGAUUAAGGGCCCUUAGCAUUGUUUAUUAUUAUUUUUGUGUUAAGGAACUAAGCUAAAGGCUUUUGUAUAAGUAGCUGAUUAUUGGUGGGACUUUACUUGUCCCUUACUUAGUUAAAUUGAUUAUUUUCAUUAAUAGUAUAUAAAAGCAAACAAACAUUUUAUUCGAGUAAUAAAAACUUAUAAAUCAGAAGUUAUUUGGAAGAUGUCCAAAUUUAGCCCAUAUAUUAUCAAUCAAAUCAUUUUGUAAUUUGUGAUGGGCUUGUGUAUUCCGAACACUCGUUCGACGAUCAAUUAUAUUACCGAGAUGUGAAGGCAUAUUGACGGAAAAUGUAUCCACAUCUUCUCUUUCUUGGAAUUCAUCAACGUCAUACUGAGUGGAUGAUGAUCGUUCAUCUUCGACAAUCAUAUUAUGGAGAAUGAUACAUGCUCUCAUAAUAGUUGCAAUCUUCUCUUUAUCCCAUAACUGAGAUGGGUUUCGGACUACGGCAAAUCUAGCUUGCAGGACUCCAAAGGCACGCUCGACAUCUUUUCUCACAGCUUCUUGGGUUUGAGCAAAUAAUGAAUUCUUCUGACCUUGUGGUAGUCGGAUAUACCGUCCGUGAGAUAAUAUGCCAAAUGAUACUGAUUACCAUUCACAUAGAAAUUUACUUCUGGGGCUAUUCCGUUAAUAAUGUCGUCAAAAACGGGUGAUCGAUCAAGAAUAUUAAGGUCGUUCAUAGUACCUGGAGCUCCAAAAAACGCGUGCCAUAUCCAGAGGUCAUAUGAAGCUACGGCCUCCAAUACAAUUGUUGGUUUAUUGGUUCCACGCGAAUACAUUCCUUUCCAAGCGGUUGGACAGUUCUUCCACUCCCAAUGCAUACAGUCGAUGCUUCCAACCAUUCCGGGAAACCCACGUUGUUCUCCAAUAUAUAAUAGUCUUUCCAGAUCCUCCGGUGUGGGACGUCUUAGAUAUUCCUCGCCAAACAAUUGGACUAUUCCCGCGGUAAAAUGGUGCAAACAUUUUCGAGCUGUUGUUUCACCAAGCCGGACAUAUUCGUCAACUGUAUCAGACCCACCACCAUACGCCAAUUGUCUAAUUGCUGCGGUACAUUUUUGGAGCGGAGAAAGACUAGACCGUCCGGUUGCAUCUUCUCUUGGUUGAAAGUAUUCUAUUUCAUUAGACAUACGAUGCAUAAUACGCAAGAACAAGGUCUUGUUCAUUCGAAACCGUCUUCGGAAUAUGUUGUGCGGGUAUGUUGGAGUUUCACAAAAGUAAUCGUUCCAAAGCUUCGUGUGGCCUUCUUCUCGGUUUCUCUCGAUAUGUAUACGUGGUUUUCUCUUUUUUGGUUCGGGAAUGAAAUUAGGAUUUUCAAAUAUAUCUUCAAACAUAGAAUCAAAUUCAUGAUCAUCAUCUUUGUGGUAAUGAUAAUGUGAAGAAGAAGCCAUUGAAAAUUUAUAAAAGAGAUUGAAAUUUCUAAAAGAGAAUUAAAAGAGAGAAUGUGUUAUGAUGAGGAGAAGUAAUGCAUUGUAUGUGAGAAGUAUGAUCUAUAUAUGCUACAUUGUCGGGUGUGAAAGCAUGACAGUUUGUUCACGAGCAUUACUGUUUGCUCACGAGCAGUUCAGUGUGCUCACAGACUGAAGACGGACAAGUCAAAGACUCAUCAUGUCACGAGUUCUUUUGUGUUAGAAAAGUUACGAGUCAAAGCAGUGAUAGGAAAGUGUCACAGACUUAACAAAACAUGAGUUACAUGAGAUGACUUAUAAUAAAACUUAAUAUUCCACAACAAGCAAAAAAAAUUACAAACAAAUAAGCAUCUCUAAACCAGUCAUACUAAAGCUUCACCACGCUAGAAGAAUCAGUUCCGAAAGAGAAGCACCACUCCUACUAAAACUACUAGAAGAACCAUUACCUCGAGAAAGAACUCAAACCCAUAGCUAACCUUAGAUUUCUCCUUAGCUAAAUCAUACACCAUCUUCUCUAGAAUGCCUAGCUUCUGCUCAGUCUCGUAGUCAGACAAAAGGGCAAGACUGUCGACCUUUUCAGACAGUAGAAGAAUGUGUCUAUCUCUGUCUCGCAGCUCCUCCAUCAAUGCAUCAUCCCACCAUUUCCAUACGUGACACUCCCCAUCAUCUACAUUCGGACAAGUGUAGUAUCGCCUACCUAUUUCGCGAGAAGAUGUUGCAAGUAGUGGCUGAGCGCCACAGUAGCAUCUCUGCGGGAUGCCAAAGUCUACCUCGGGUUCCGGAGGGUACUGCACCGGUGAACCUCUUUGUAAGCUUAUCUCCUCUUGGUCACGUCGAAUUAAGUCAUCAGUCUCGUUGUAGCCACUGUCCACAGAGUUGCAAAAUAAGUCCUCCGAGUCCGAAGGCUGACUAUAGUUGUAGUCAAGUCCCAUGUUCCUCUUAUCCUGCAGAAAAUGUCAACUACUUAUUAGAAUCAUGUUUUAGCAAGAACAUUUGUAGUUGUUUAAAAAGAGACAAAGCAAGACAUUUUAUAUAUAUUAUUAAACAGCCUUAGUUUAUAUAAUUCCACGGUUAUUUAAAGAGACGUUCUGAUUAGAUUAAACAAGCAUAUAAAAAGACAUACAUAAAAACAGAGAUUUUAUGGAGGAAAAACAUAAAACAUAGAAUUAAAAGGACAAAGAAAAAACUAUUAAAAAGACAAAUAUAAAACAUAGAACAUGAUAUCUAAUUCUUCAGAAGUACGCAGCUAAGAGUUUAUUCUUCACAACUUCUUAUGCCUCAGUUAAUGGCUCCGACUUUUGGAGGAGAGUAUCCAGUAUAGCCAACUUAGUGAGCCUCUCCUUCAUGGCCAAAUCCUCCUUCUUCAUUUCUCAUAGGGUGGUGUACUCAGCAACAGACUUCCCUUGACCAGUGUUCCUUUUCGAUUUAGCAGCCUUGAUACCUUCAGGCCGGGUCUCAUGAUCACCAUUCUCGUUGGUUGACGUUUCAGAUGGUGUUUCACCAUUUUUCCUCUUUGAGCUUCCUUUUGGUGUGUUGAGGCUGAGCCAUUUCUGCUCAUACCUCAACACACACCACACAUGCUCGAGGUUGAACUUGGUUCUCUAAUCAGCGUAGAAGAUGUCAUGAGCCCUCUUGAGAACAUCAGUGUCACUCUCACCACUGCUAAUUUGCCUCUCUGCUGUGGCAUAAGCGCCGCAGAACUUGUUCACGUGAUCGUUUAUCCUAGCCCACCUCUUCUUACAAUGAAGAUGCUCUCUCUUUUCACCAUCCCCUACUCCGUGAGGACUUGUUGUGUAAUACUCAGCAACACGUUGCCAGAAGGUGAGUGACUUCUGCUGAUUUCCAACUACAGCAUCCUUGGAAGUGUUGAGCCACGCACUGAUUAGGACCUCGUCAUCAGUCGGGGUCCAUUUACGUCGAGCAACACGGUCCACGGGUGUGCCUACUGGUGUGCCUACGGGUGUGUCUUCAGAUGGGUGAGAACUGAAAGGAGGGUUCUCGGAUUCUCCUAAGUGAACAUUAGAAUGGAAAGGGAAGUAGCUAGAGGACUGCGUAUAAAUAUUUCUUGGAUCCAUAUCAGUAAGAAGAGAGAAGAGAUUAAGAGGAGGUGGUAGAAGAGAAAAACUAGCUACGUAUAUUUAAGGGGGGCAUCAGAAGGGGUUUGAUUGGAGGAAGUGAAGAGUAAGUUAGCAAUAACUUACCCACUUAAUGACUAACCGGUAACAAGAUAUGUCUUAUCUAAAGUUAUUACACAAACAAAAAGCUAUCAACUAUCCUAACAAGAUCAUUAAUAUUUUGUUGGAUUUCAUUUCACACAAACUACCCUUUACAGCCUAACCUAUCUAAUCAAUACGAAGUAACCACGACAAUGGCUUUAAUAAACAGCGAAACAUUUACAAAACAAGUGUACUUUCACUAGAAAUUUAUUGUGUGGUUCAUUAAAAAUACACAGAUUUCAAACUAAAAAUACACAUUCAAAUCUUUCAAAUUCAAAUCAUCUAUACGAAUCCUCUAUAUGAAUAUCCAAUCAUCUGUACGAAUCCUGUAGCAAUACAUAUAUCAAAUCAUCUCUAGGAAGCCCUAAUCAAAUAUUCAAUCAAAUAAUCAAUACAAGUUUUCCAAUUUACAUCUAUACGAAACCCAAAUCAUAUACUCAAUCAAAUAAUCAAUACAAGUUUUCCAAUUUACAUCUAUACGAAAUCCUAAUCAAAUUUUCAAUCAAAUAAUAAUAUCGAGAAAGAAAGGAGGUGAAGGACAUACCUUCGUACGAUUGGGUCGAUUCUCACACGAUUGGGGAUGCUUGGGAAACGAACAGAACCGACGGUUUAGGUCUUCGUCAUUGGAGAUUUCAGAGUCGAUUUCGCCGUCGGAUGUGGAUCGCGCUUUCGGUUUCGGAAACAAGUCUUCGUCACCGGAGAUCGAUUAAGAGAUCACGUAGAAAGCUUCCUCCUCUGCUAAAUCACCUUCGCCGUUGCCUUUUGGAGUCGACUACAAGAGAAACACGAAGAGAGGAAAUGGAAAAGACGAUCCGUCUUCGAUAUCAUCGACCACUCCGGUGCUGCCACGUACCCACGAGGGACGACCCCGAGAAGCCCUUAAUCAAGGCCCGUUCGUCUCGUCCUUUGCCAUUUUUAUUUUUUUUUUAACCCAAAAUGGGUUAAGGGUCGGGCCCAAGGGCCGCCGAUAACGGUGGCCUUAGUUUCCAUGAAAUAAGUAUGCGUUAAAAAUAAAGAUUGAAUGAGUAUAGUCUAGUAGCUAUCAUCAAAUGUAACCUAGACGUUACUCUUUUUUAAUUUAUUCUUUUGUGAUAAGUUUUCCUUACACCAACCAUCUUUAUACAUUAAAAAAAAAGUUGAUCGGCUUCCAGAACAAUCUCUUGAGAAGAAUAGCAAAUAGAAUAAUGCCUUUGGCCCUUUGCAAGAUGCAUUAUAUAUAUAUAUCACUAGUUCUAACUACAAACACAUCAUCAUACAAUGAAUUAAAAACAAACUAAAGUUGAGAAUAAUUUCCUGAGAAACUUUAACUUAGCCUUUAGGCUUCUUUACUAUAUUCUGUUGAAUCUAUUCCCUUAUCCCUGCCCUUUUCUUUGGUUGGGUGGGAGCUUUAGUGUGAGUGGGCACUUCACAUUAAUGAUGCUUCGCAAUUAUGUAAUAUCUUCUAGGCCGUGUUUUCUGUUUAGUUUGGGACACCUACAGGGAUACCUUUUUUUAUCAUAUGUAAUAUCUUCUGGGCCUUGUUUUCUGGUUAGUUUGGGACACCUACAGUGAUCUGGUUAGUUUGGGACACCUACAGUGAUACCUUUUUAUCACAAAAAAACAUAUUGUCUUAAAUAUAUUUUCUAUUCACUUAAUUACACUUUCAAAUUUAUAUAUGUCUUAUCAUUCUUAUCUUAUAUCUCAAACUAAAUUAGAUUGUAACCAUCGCUAGCUUUAAUACACACUCACAAACAUGUUUUUCUAUGUAAAUCAAGCAUAUCAUGAUUUUUCAGCGUAUUCAAAGUCGAAUGUUGUGUUCAUAAACAAAAAAAUUGUAAAUGCAUACAGACACCCCAACCAAAAGAAUCUAUGAUUUAACACAGAAAAGAAAAACUAUAUGUAAAAAUAUUCUGCCUAUAUUUGAAUAUAAAUGUACAUGCAAGCAUUAUAUAUUCCUCCUCUUCAGCAUUCACCUAUAUUAUUAGGUUAGUCACACACUCAAUUCAUAAGUACUACUACUCACAUUUCUAUCUCCCUCUUUCUCUGAAACGUCUAGCAAAUGGGUUUGAAGCACUCUUCUUCUUCUUCCUUAUUCUUCCUUAUCCUUUUAUUCUUAUUACUUUCUUCUCAAGUCUCCUCACAAGCCUGCCUAAAAACAUGCGGCCAAAUACCCAUCAAGUACCCGCUUGGAACCGGGUCAGGUUGCGGUGACACACGUUUCACACGUUACAUCAAGUGCGACCCAGACCAGCAAACUCUAACGCUCACCACACACACAGGCUGCUACCCUAUCACGUCCGUCGACUACACCAAGCAAAUCAUCUACGUCACUGACUCGUCUAUGUCCACGUGUGCAUGUACCCGACCCAGCCAAGGAUUCGGGUUGGACUGGGACGCUCCGUUUUCUUUUCACGACGACACCGUUUUUACGCUUCUUGACUGUUCUGUUGACGAAUCCCCUGUUUUCAAGCCGUUAAGUAACAGUACCGGACGUGUCUCUCUAUGUGACCGUCAGAGCUCCUCUAUUUGUAACUUCUUGUACUCAAAUUGCAGGUAAACCAAAAUUCCUCUUUAAUUAAACCAGGCUAGUUGUUCUAUCUAAACCGAAAUAAAUUAAAUCAGUUUCCCAUUUUUUCUUGGAGAUAUCACAUAUGAGAUGGUCUAAGUCAUAAAAAUAUUAGAAAAAGUAUAUAUUUUCGGAAACUAAAAAUGGUAUGACAACACCUAUUUAAAUUGUAAUGAUCCCGGUUUACUAUUGAUUUUUUACUUACACCGGUUUAACUUUCCGGUUUAAUAGGGCCAUUAGUCUAAUAAACCUCCAAGAAUCAACAUGUUGCGUCUACGUACCCCUAGAUCUCGGACCAUCGUUUGAAAUGGACCUACAGAAGCUCCGGUGCUCUUCUUACUCCGGUUUCUACAAUCUUGGUCCGGCCCAAGAAUCUCACCCUGAAAAUUGGAACUAUGGAAUCGCACUCAAGUACAAGUUCAACGUCUUCGAUGAGUAUCCUGCCGUGUGUGGUGGCUGCGAGCGUAGUAACGGUGCUUGUGGAUACAACACUCAGACUAGCUCGUUCGUUUGUAACUGUCCCGGUGGGAUCAAUACGACGUCAGAUUGUUUCUUCCUUUAUAACUCGGCUUCUAUUGUUCUACCUUGGAUCUCAAGUAAGCACCACUUUCCAUACUAUUUCACAUAUUUUAGGCUCUUAGCUAUAACUUCUUUACUCCCAAUCAGCUUUUGCUUCAUUAAAAACUUGUUUUUACUUUGGGAUAAUUAAGCAAAAUAUUUGCCUAACAUAGUUUUCUUAAAUUAGCAGGAGCAUGGAUGAUGUACCCUAUGUCAUUGGUUGUAUUUUGGACAGUGAUGAGCCUUCCUUGAAGGAGUUGGAAUGGUUCGUACUGAAAGCUUAAUGAAUGGAAUCUUUGCGUCUUCUUUCUAUAUUCUUUGUGAUAACAUCACGUGACAAGAUUCCCUAUUGGUUGUCUGUGAUAUCAAUGAUGUAAUGGUUCGUAGUUUAAAAAGACAACCGUUUCACAUACAGUAAGAGAUACCAAAUACACAAAUUCAACAAAAGGAGAAACUAAUUAUAAGGAGAGAACAAAGUCUGUAAGAAAGGUCUAGAAGAAACACACAACAGCUGGAGAUGGUUACUAUUUCUUACUGCACAACUCCAACAUUAAAACAGAACUAACACUGAGAUGAGGCUGACUUUAAGCUUCAUCGUCAUCUUCAUCAUCGAGCUUAUAGGAACUAAAAUGAUCGACCCUAAACUUCCACUCCCCUUUCACAGGAUCAAACGAUACAAACUCAGCUCCUUGUGCCUCAGCUUUCCUCUUCAGCAUCAUCUUAUACUUCUCCACUCUCUCUCCUUCAGUAAACUGUUUCCCUGUCUUCUUAUCAAUACAUUUUAUAUUCAGCAAUGUUACCUCCGCCGGUUUAUUCAACCCUUGCCCCACCGCCGGUUUCUUGCUCUCGUCCAGGUACACAAUCACUUCUCGGUUAUUGAACUGAACCAGAGAUUCUAAGUCUAGUCUACGAACAUCAGUCUCUCCCAUGAACUUAAUGCUCCCAUAACCGUGUCGUCCCACCACAAAGUCUCUAACCCGCCUGCAAUAACCAGGAUCCGCUCUUUCCUUAGCCGCUAGUUCACGGAUACUUGGCUCCGUGAAAUAAUCGGAUUGGCGUAGCUUAGGCAAUAGCGCCUCGAUAUCUGUACCAUUCUCGUUAACAGUUGGGGCUUCUCCCUCUCGGUGUCCGCCUCGUGUUCUGGAGGGACGGUCUUUCUCUCGAGCGUGAUCUGUGCUGGUUGAGCCGUUUGAUAUCUGAUUUCCAUUGACAAAUGGGUGAGUUCUUUCUUCAGCAGCACCAACUUCUCCGUUAUCAUUCUCUGUGAAUAUUUUCACUCAAGUCAGUCAAAGAAUGGUCCAAAUAUGGCAAAACGUAAUGAAGCUUUUUUUUUUUACGUAUGCAUAUUUUAUAUACUUACUGUCGUGGUUUGCCGAAUCAGUAGCUAUUUCUGGACUCUUCCCUGAAAUUUACAGAUAAUAUUGUCAAAAAAAGAGAAAGGAAUCAUUGAACUCAGUAGUUAGUAUCAUUUUCGUGGUGAAGUUUUCUAAGAUACGAACAAAAGCUUACCAUUUUCAUGUGGUUGAGCAGUGGGGCGGUCCUUUGGAAUUGUAGAUUUGACCCUUGAAGACCACUGUUGAACUGGGCGUAUAACUAGAGCUCUAGGGUUCUCCCUCGGAAUGAAAAGAGCAUCUGCCUUUGGUGUACUUGAGGAGUUCUCCUCGUCAUCAGCGAAAAAUGGAACCUACAAAGACCAUUUUAAGAUUUAAACAUGUAGAACGAACAUGUAGCACCAACACUAAAAUUUAAGUAAAAUAUAGUGUGAGCAAUAAUUCACAAGACAGAUGCAUGCCUUUGGACCAUUGUCGCCAGGACGGUACUUUCUUGCCGGCAACCUGGCCCGCCUUUGUAGAAGGUGUCGAGAAGUUAAGAGAGAUGAUAUUCUAACAGGAACAGGUUUGUCAACAACCUGGCAGGAAAAGAAACAAUAAGAACAAAGAAGAAAAUGAAUGAAACGAACAAGAAGGAACGGAGUAGAGAAACUUUCAGGUAUGACAAUAGUUAAUUUCGAAAAAUAUCAAACUUUGAGGUAUGACUUUAAAACUUUAAUUUGUGAACUGGCAAGCAUCGAUGACAAUAGUUAAUUUAGAAAAAUAUCAAAUUUCUACUAAUAAGUUGAUAUCAGUUUUGAUUUAAACUUCAACUUAAAACUUCAAUAAAACUAUUUGAUUAUAUUUAGGAAAGACCGAAAGAGUUAAAAGAAAAAUUCACAAUCUGUGUAUUGCCGAAUGAAGAGUAGGCUUACAGGCAUGCUGGAGAUUCCAUAUUGAAUUGAAGGUGAAGUUCCACUUUGGUUUAUUGAGAUCUGAGGCAUAGCAGGAAGUGUUCCAAAUGGAUUUGUAACAGCAACGGGCUGCAAAACAACAGAGCUCGGCGGAGCAGGCCUGUCAACAAAAAAGGAUGAAAAUUGAGGCUCCAAUAGAGCAAAACAAAACUUCCACGAAACGAAAGUCAUGCAAGGACUGAUGUCAGAAAGACCAUACGUUUGCCCGAAGUUGCCUUGACCAAAAAAUCCCAGUCCACCAGCAUUUCCAGUUGCAUUAGCUUUAGACCACCAAUAUAGUAAGAGUUAGCAUCUAGAAAUAAGAUGAUACCGUCAGUGACUUGGUUGACAGAGGUACCUGCUUGUGCUUGACCGAAGUUGUUGAAACCAAAGCCAUUUGACGCUUGACCUGGCUGAGAUGAUUGGAAAGGUGUCAUACCAGCAGCCUACAGAAAAAAGUUCAAGCUAAGAAGGCCUAAAUCAGAUCAAAAGCGAAGUGCAGUAGCGGGUGUUAAUGAAGAGAAGUAAAAGAACUACUAACUGUGAAGAGAGCAGGCAUCACCAAAAGAAAUGAGAAAAAAAAAAAACUAAGUGCUUGGGCUUAAUAACGAAUACGAAAAACGAAUCACCAUUGUUUGUCCAAAGGGAGAGCUGCUAGACGUAGUUAAUGUUGAAGAACUUGAAAACAAGUUGCCAAACCCAGUGGAAGGUUUAUUGAAGAUGUUAGUUUGGCCAAAUGCAGGAGCACUACUCUGUCCGAACUGUCCAAAGGCAGAACCAGUCUGUCCAAAGGUAGAACCAGUCUGUCCAAAUGCAGAACCAGUCUGUCCAAAUGUAGAACCAGUCUGUCCGAUCGAGGGAUUUGAGCUGAACAGAUUAGAUGACUGAGUGUUCCCAAAUGCUGGAGUCGCCCCCUGAACAGGAGUUGAACCAAAUAUUGAUGGAGAAGAACCAAAUCCAGGAGUGCUCGACGAACCAAAUAACGGUGAUGAGGUGGUUGUUCCAAAAGCGGGGGAUGUUCCAAAGACGGAUGUGGUAGUUGAUGAAGUUGACCCAAAAAGAUUGGAUGAAGAUGUUACACCAAAGGGCGAGGAACCAAAAUUCGAGGUAGCCGUUCCAAAACCUGAACUGGCAAUUGUUGGGGUUUGAGGGGCAAAAGGAUUAGUAGACGUUGAGCUCGAAAAAGGGUUUGUUGGAUUUGCUGGUGUCUGACCAAACGCCGGUGAUGAAGAAAAAGGAUUUGGCUGAGCAGUUGAUACACCAAAUCCGGUAUUUCCAGCAGACUGGCCAGCAGGAAGCGGUCCACCUGAAAAUCCAUCUUUAUUAGAAAAAGUACAAGAAUAGAGCGUUAAGGAGAUGUAAUACAAGAUUUGUUUGAUAAAAUGUACCUUUAUCUCCUCGUUGGUAGUCUUCCCACCUUAGCUCCUCAUGGCUUUUUUCUUUGUAUGCCGGCAUGGCAGAAAUAGAUUCUAACUUUCCAGCAGGCGCACCACUGCCUGUCUCUGCCUCAACUGUUGGUGCAUAAGGCACGGCUCGACUGCCCGCUUGUUGUUGACCACCGAAAGGUGAUUGACCAAAACCAGAACUCCCAAAUGUUGGGGUUGAAGCCUGCCCACCUACAAAACAAAUCAUUCAAACAUAUUUCUUCAUCCUUUAUUCAAAUGACUAACACAGCAGUUAGUUUGUACAUGCUAAAGGGAGAACCUUGGGCUACCUUGGGCUCCAAAGGGAGAUGGUGUAGAGCCAAAUGCACUGCUGCCAAACGCUGAUGUGGACUGGCCAAAAGCUGGAGAGGAGCCAAAACUGAAGGAUGAGGUGUUUGAUGCACCAAAAGGAGGAGUACUGGAUGCUCCAAAGGCAGGGGAACUGGAUGCCCCAAAGGCAGGAGCGCCUGAUGCACCAAAAGCAGGAGUGGCUGAUGCACCAAAAGCAGGGGUGCUAGCAGCUCCAAAGCCAGUGUUGCCAAACGUGGUACCAGUGCUACCAAAGGCUGGAGUCGGUGAAGCUCCAAAUGCAGGUGUGUUUGUGGCGCCGAAGGUAUGUUGGUUUGAGGCGCCAAAGGCAGGCGUGCUUGUGGCACCAAAGGCAGGCGUGCUUGUAGCGCCAAAGGCAGGCGUGCUUGAUGCACCGAAGGCAGGCGUGCUCGCGGCACCAAAAGGUGUGGAUGAACCAAAAGUGCUGUUUCCAAAUGCAGGUUGCGAUUGCUGUGUUGUGCUUCCAAAAGGAUUUGACUGAGGUGUUGAAAAUCCCAGUGGUUUCUGCCCAAAAGCAGAAGACCCUGAAAAAAAGAACAAAGAAAUUAGCUUCGUCCCCAAACGCAAAUGUCAAACUGAAAACAUGGACUAACGAAAACCUAAACUAAAGAAAGGAAAACAACAAAUAUAGUUGGAGCAAAUAUCUAGAAAAAGCAGCAGAAAGAGAACCCAAAAAAAAGUGAACAGUUCUAGAAUAUUAAAUCUGGUAGUGACAAACAUUCUACAAACCACAGAACUGGAUACUGUGCACUAUAUAUCCGCAAACUAUCAAAAGGCCACCUCCUCAAGCAUCCAUAAAUCCAUGAUGUUAAAGACAGAAAAUACAUUCAUAUUGAGGAAAAAAACAAUAAAUCACUGAGAAAACUGACAAACCCCUGCGACGAAAGACGAAUAAGCUACUUACCACCAAAAGGUGAAGAUGCUGGAGAUGCUCCAAAAGCCGGAGUAGAAUUCCCAAAUGCUGGUGAUGAAGAAGCUCCAAAAGUUGGGGUGGAGCCAAACGGAGAGGAGGCCUGAGGUGCACCAAAAACACCGGUUGAAGUGCCACCAAAUAUUGAACCCCCUGUCUGUGCACCAAAAGGUGCAGACGUGCCGAACGGUGUUGCUGGAGCAAAGGGAUUAUUACUGCUAGAAUUGCUGGUCUGACCAAACAAAGAUUGGGUUUGGGACCCAAACGGGCUGCUACUAGAUGACUGUCCAAAAGCUACAAGAUUAAUAGUUCUUCAGCUCAGUUUUCUUUUGUAGCAUUACAAAAAUAUAUAAAACUAUUGAAAGAAAUAACGAAAGAGAAGGCUAACAGAAACCAACGAGUAAGAAUAAGAUAGGGAUCACUUACGAUUAGAUGAGCCAAACAUCUUCCUCUAUAGUUUCAAAACGCAGGACCCAGUCAAAAGAAAGUAUCUUAUCUUGUAGCUGGUAAAGAAAACGAAGAACUAUUAGGAUAAGAAAACAAAGAAACUAAAAAAGCAAAUAAGCAGCAGUGAAAGCUGGUUUUAUAAUUCAAACACAAUAAAACAUACAUAAACAAUGCUUGAAUUCAACAUUCUCAUGAUAUGAAGUAAAUGUACAGUAAGCCGGCAUAACUGAGACUCUGAGAGAUGACGAAUCUCUCUACACCUUAUGAACUAUGCAGUUUACUCACGAAACAAUUCAGCGAUAACGAACCUCUCUAAACAAAGGCAACAUCACAUAUAGAAACCAGCAACUCAGAAACUAGCUACGCAAAACGAAAUCGAAAUUAAUCGUGGCAUAUAAAACUUCAGCAUAUAACGAGCAAUCAAAAUUAAACCUGGAACUAAUCGUGAAUACAACAAACACAGCGAAAGAAAGAAUCGAAGAAAAACCUAUGAAUCCGAUGUAGAAAUUGACGAACAAGGUCACACACACACACACAAUGAAGCUCCGAACGUCGAAUUUGUUUCCUGCGUGGGAAGAAAUUGCGGUUCGGGAGUGAAAUCGCUAAACGACGUCGAAUCAAACGUGGAGUGGAAAUACUAGGGCGGAAAUGAACCUGGAAACGAAGAGCUCGAUCUUAAAAAUCGGCGGAGUAGGGAGAAAUCUCGCCGGAAAUUUGAAAGCGACGACAGUUGCAACUUGACAGAGCGAUGAAGGGCGAAGAUUGGCGUUUUGAGGACUUGUCUACCUGCUUGCGAUGGCUUCUUCACACGAUUUGUUUCUUUUAAUUAAUGUGAUUUAUUAUUCUAAUUUUUUCCUGCAAAUUUAGUAACUAAUACAAACUAUUUAGUAGACGGUAAGUUAUGAAUUGUGGGCCUGCAUCAAGGCCCAUUAUAAAUAAAUGACAUAAAAAGCGAUGAUGUCGGCCUGUGAAUCUUCUAAACUAUGUUGUUAUUCCUCUCUGCUCCUUCUUCUCCUCCCUCUCACGGCAAAUCACAAAUCUAAACUAGGUUUUUACCAAAUUAGCAUUUUGACAAACGUUCCAUGGAUUUAUUUUAUCAAUUGAUUAGCUUCCACCCAAGAAUGCAUCCAUUGCUAUCCAUCCUCAAAAGGUAGAAAUAUAAAAUAAAGACUUGACUAUAAGAUAAUCAUCAAGUUGGAUGAUUAAGAUUCCAAAUUUUUAUAUAUUCACUUAAGAAUCAUCACCCUUUUGUUGGGGGGGUUCUAAAAGGGAUGCUUUUUUUUUGUUUCUUCUUUUACAAGGAAAAAACAAAGGAGGAGAAAGAAUGGUGU
rnacentral:lncRNA from 1 species